GCACAGCCAGCACCUGACACACACUGGUGCCCAGGAGAUGUUUGAUGAAUACAUAAUUGGGGGUGGGGCAGGGGCUCCUGUGCACAUUACAAAGGCAUGUGUAGAGUCCAGGGAUGACUUGCUGGCCGUUUUCAUGAGCCUGGACAGUUGAAGAAAUGAUGCCUAAAGCAAGUUUACCAUGCGGCAGCCAAAUCAAUGAGAACAGGAGUAAUGAAGGCACUCCUGGUCACGGGGCGUGUUUGCUUCCUUUGUGACAGAUUUCCACUUCUUUCUUUGUCAGGGAGGCUCCCCCUCAGCCAGGCCCAUGGACAAUUAUUGGUGAUAGAUUUGAGUGUUUCUGGGCAUGGCUCCAGGUCAUAACCAAGAUCCAGGCCCUGCCAGCAUCUUCCUGGGGUGAAAUUGACAGCAAGUGUAAGAAGGCUUGCUCAGCUCAUUAAUGGUGAGCCUUCAGCUGAGGCUGUCAGCACAACCCUGGAUGGGGUAGCUGGAGAGCAGAAAAGCCAAGGUGAGAGGAGGCGGCAGAGCUGAGGUACAAGGAGUGGAGCAAGAAGCCAAGCUUGGCUAAGCCCUUGGGGCCUUAAGAAAUGGGAUCUGACCAGAGUGGGGCCCUGAGGUCAUGUGACCUUAAAAGUGGAAGAUGUAUUGAUCGCUUGAUCACCAAGACCUCCCACCCACUACUCCUCACCACAUAAGUAAAACAGCAGGGCCUACAGUUGGCAGUAAGAUUAAAAUUUGGUACAACCUCUAAGGAGAGUGAUUUGGCAACCACCAUGAAAAUCAUAAAUGCUCAAACCCUGUUGAUACAUUUUCUUGGCAUCCUAAAGAAAAAAUGCAUAUGACUCCAUGCAGAUACAUGUACCAAAUGUGCACUGUAGCUGGCAAGCACAAAAGACUGGAGACAACCAAAUGUCCAUCAAUAGGGGAGCAUGCAUUAUUGGGGAAUACUGUGCAGUCAUGACAAAGGAUGACGGUAAUCUCCAGGACACCUUGAAGCGAAGAAAGCAAGAAGCCUGAAGAGCCCAUCUACCCUGAAUCCUCCCUUUUACAAAAGGGAAGCCUAAGACCCAGAGUGAGGAUUGAGUGGCAGAAAGCCCCGCCUCUAUACUCAGAGGCAAGUUCAAUACCAGGACUGCGAUUACCUGACUCCCAGACCAGAGGUCCCUCCUCUGCACCACAACUUCCACUCUGGUUAGAUGUGGCCAGGAGCCCAUAGCCCCUCCGCCUCUCACAAUCCCAAUACUCAGCAACUCAGAGUCAGACAUCUCUUCUACCGUCAAAUCCAGAUUCUCAGUGUCAUUGCUUCACUUCAUUUCCUCCUGUCCUGUCCUCAGCUAAACUAAGGAAGAGGCAUCACCACCACCCUUUACCUGCAGAUAGGUCAAACCACAAAGGAUCCCUUGAGUUCCUUCUUUCUCUCUUUCUCGGAAGAUCAUGUUAGUCACUCUGGACUUGUUUAUUGUAGAUCACCAUGGCUGCUCCCUGGACAGUGUCUGUCCUGGUCAGGGUAUCUCAUAUUGUUGUUCCCCUUUUAUCUCCUGAAGUGGAAAAUAAAUUUGCAGACAAUC